AUUGAACGCUGGCGGCAGGCCUAACACAUGCAAGUCGAGCGGCAGCGGGAAAGUAGCUUGCUACUUUUGCCGGCGAGCGGCGGACGGGUGAGUAAUGCCUGGGAAAUUGCCCAGUCGAGGGGGAUAACAGUUGGAAACGACUGCUAAUACCGCAUACGCCCUACGGGGGAAAGCAGGGGACCUUCGGGCCUUGCGCGAUUGGAUAUGCCCAGGUGGGAUUAGCUAGUUGGUGAGGUAAUGGCUCACCAAGGCGACGAUCCCUAGCUGGUCUGGGAGGAUGAUCAGCCUCACUGGAACUGAGACACGGUCCAGACUCCUACGGGAGGCAGCAGUGGGGAAUAUUGCACAAUGGGGGAAACCCUGAUGCAGCCAUGCCGCGUGUGUGAAGAAGGCCUUCGGGUUGUAAAGCACUUUCAGCGAGGAGGAAUGGUCAGUAGCUAAUAUCUGCUGACUGUGACGUUACUCGCAGAAGAAGCACCGGCUAACUCCGUGCCAGCCGCCGCUGUAAGAC
rnacentral:rRNA from 1 species